ensembl:snRNA U6 U6 spliceosomal RNA
GUACUCGCUUCGGCAACACAUACACUAAAAUUGGAAUGAUACAGAGAAGAUUAGCAUGGCCCCUGCUGAAGGAGACAUACAAAUUUGUGAAGUGGUCAAUAUUUAA